GAGACCCACGCCAACAGUUGCCAGCAUGUCCUCCGGGACGGUGGGGACACUGUUGGGACCGCCUCUGCUAAAGAGGAGGAAGGAAUGGGCAACGGUAGGUCAGCAUGCCCCGAAUUAUCCGGGCUACACGCGGGCUACAAUGGUCAGGACAAUGGGUAUCGACACCGAGAGGUGAAGGCAAUCUCUUAAACCUGUCCUUAGUUCGGAUUGUGGGCUGCAACUCGCCCACAUGAAGCUGGAAUCCGUAGUAAUCGCGUCUCAAAAUGGCGCGGUGAAUAU
rnacentral:rRNA from 1 species